rnacentral:rRNA from 1 species
CUUUCCAGAGAUGGAUUGGUGCCUUCGGGAACUCUGAGACAGGUGCUGCAUGGCUGUCGUCAGCUCGUGUUGUGAAAUGUUGGGUUAAGUCCCGCAACGAGCGCAACCCUUAUCCUUGUUUGCCAGCGAGUAAUGUCGGGAACUCCAGGGAGACUGCCGGUGAUAAACCGGAGGAAGGUGGGGACGACGUCAAGUCAUCAUGGCCCUUACGAGUAGGGCUACACACGUGCUACAAUGGCGCAUACAGAGGGC